rnacentral:rRNA from 1 species
ACGAACGCUGGCGGCGUGCCUAAUACAUGCAAGUCGAGCGGAAUGAUGAAGAAGCUUGCUUCUUCUGAUUUUAGCGGCGGACGGGUGAGUAACACGUGGGCAACCUACCUUGUAGAUUGGGAUAACUCCGGGAAACCGGGGCUAAUACCGAAUAAUCCAUUUUGCUUCAUGGCGAGAUGUUGAAAGACGGUUUCGGCUGUCACUAUAAGAUGGGCCCGCGGCGCAUUAGCUAGUUGGUAGGGUAAUGGCCUACUAAGGCGACGAUGCGUAGCCGACCUGAGAGGGUGAUCGGCCACACUGGGACUGAGACACGGCCCAGACUCCUACGGGAGGCAGCAGUAGGGAAUCUUCCACAAUGGACGAAAGUCUGAUGGAGCAACGCCGCGUGAGUGAAGAAGGUUUUCGGAUCGUGAAACUCUGUUGUAAGGGAAGAACACGUACGAGAGUAACUGCUCGUACCUUGACGGUACCUUAUUAGAAAGCCACGGCUAACUACGUG